AUUGAACGCUAGCGGGAUGCCUUACACAUGCAAGUCGAACGGAGUGGCGAACGGGUGAGUAAUGUAUCGGAACGUGCCCGGUAGUGGGGGAUAACUACGCGAAAGCGUAGCUAAUACCGCAUACUAUGGGAGCGGCCGAGGUCGGAUUAGCUAGUUGGGGGGGUAACGGCUUACAAAGGCGACGAUCCGUAACUGGUGUGAGAGGCGGACCAGUCACACUGGGACUGGGACACGGCCCAGACUCCUACGGGAGGCAGCAGUGGGGAAUUUUUGACAAUGGUGGAAACCCUGAUCCAGCCAUCCCGCGUGUGCGAUGAAGGCCUUCGGAUUGUAAAGCACUUUUGGCAGGGAAGCGGUACCUGCAGAAUAAGCACCGGCUAACUACGUGCCAGCAGCCGCGGUAAUAC
rnacentral:rRNA from 1 species